GCAGAUGAUUUUUCAGAAUUUGCAGAUCUCAAUGAAGAUGGAGAAUCUAGAUUUUUCUCAGCCAACUGACUUAAACAUAGAUGUUUGGUCUGUCAGGGAAAGGAGUCCUCUUUGGAGUAAGACGUCAGCAGUUUAGCAGGAACCCUCUGCUUCUUCUUCCAUGACGCUUCUUCCUCAACACCGGUAAUCAAGCCUGUGAGAAUCCUGCUGAGAAGCCUGUAAGCAGCAAAGAACUUACCCCUGUCCUAUACUGACUCAGAACUGACAUCCAGACUCUUAAAAAAAACAAAAACAAAAACAAAAACGAGAGAGAGAAGAAAACACAGGGAUGAAAGAAACAAGAGGACAAUGUUGAGACUUCAGAGAAAAGACCAGUGACAUCAUUCUGACAAUGGAUGAAGAAUUCUGCUGGGAGUGUCGGGGCAGCCUGGUUUCCUGACAGAAAGGGAAAGAGGUAGCUGACACCAGACCUUUCUCCUUCCCCUGACUUGACCGUGAUGUAUAUCUGGAGCACCAUUAGCUCUCUUGUGAUCAGAAAGCAACAAAUAACUCUCCAGCAUAUAGAUUCUGAAUCAACACCCACAGCUUUCUAAUUCCUGUGAUGUGCAAAAAAAUAGUAAAUCUAUUGCUUAA